rnacentral:hammerhead_ribozyme from 1 species
AUCCAGCUGACGGAUCUCAAACAAAACGUAACGCGCGUCAUGGAU